GAUGAAGAACGCAGCGAAAUGCGAUAAGUAAUGUGAAUUGCAGAAUUCAGUGAAUCAUCGAAUCUUUGAACGCACAUUGCGCCCCUUGGUAUUCCAUGGAGCAUGCCUGUUCGAGCGUCAUUUGUACCUUCAAGCUCUGCUUGGUGUUGGGUGUUUGUCUCGCCUCUGCGUGUAGACUCGCCUCAAAACAAUUGGCAGCCGGCGUAUUGAUUUCGGAGCGCAGUACAUCUCGCGCUUUGCACUCAUAACGACGACGUCCAAAAGUACAUUUUUACACUCUUGACCUCGUAUCAGGUAGGGAUACCCGCUGAACUUAAGCAUAUCAAUAAGCGGAGGA
rnacentral:misc_RNA from 1 species